rnacentral:pre_miRNA from 13 species
UCCUGACAGUACCAAAGUGCUCAUAGUGCAGGUAGUUUUUUUCAAUUGAUUCUACUGUAAUGUGGGCACUUACAGUACUCCAGGAU